AGCAGUAGCCGCGGGAAUACGGAGGGUGCAAGCGUUAUCCGGAUUUAUUGGGUUUAAAGGGUCCGUAGGCGGAUCUGUAAGUCAGUGGUAAAAUCUCACAGCUUAACUGUGAAACUGCCAUUGAUACUGCAGGUCUUGAGUAAAUUUGAAGUGGCUGGAAUAAGUAGUGUAGCGGUGAAAUGCAUAGAAAUUACUUAGAACACCAAUUGCGAAGGCAGGUCACUAAGAUUUAACUGACGCUGAUGGACGAAAGCGUGGGGAGCGAACAGGAUUAGAUACCCGUGUAGUCCCUGUCUCUUAUAC
rnacentral:rRNA from 1 species